AGUGAACGCUGGCGGCGUGCCUAAUACAUGCAAGUCGAACGGAGUGGCGCACGGGUGAGUAAUAUCUAGCUAAUCUGCCCCUUUCUGGAGGACAACAGUUAGAAAUGACUGCUAAUACUCCAUAGCAAGGGAUGAGACUAUAUCGUAUCAGCUAGUCGGUGGGGUAACGGCCUACCGAGGCUAUGACGCGUAACUGGUCUGAGAGGAUGAUCCGGUACAUUGGAACUGAGACACGGUCCAAACUCCUACGGGAGGGAGCAGGAGGGAAGAUGGCGCAAUGGGGGAAACCCUGACGCAGCAACGCCGCGUGGAGGAUGACACUUUUCGGAGCGUAAACUCCUUUUGUUAUGGAAGCGGUACCUAACGAAUAAGCACCGGCUAACUCCGUGCCAGCAGCCGCGGUAAUUC
rnacentral:rRNA from 1 species